rnacentral:rRNA from 1 species
GAUGAACGCUAGCUACAGGCUUAACACAUGCAAGUCGAGGGACCCGCGCACGGGUGAGUAACACGUAUCCAACAUGCCCUUUACUAGGGGAUAGCCUUUCGAAAGAUAGAUUAAUACCCGAUAUAAAGGAUGGGGAUGCGUUACAUUAGGUUGUUGGUGAGGUAACGGCUCACACAGCCUUCGAUGGCUAGGGGUGCUGAGAGGAAGGUCCCCCACAUUGGAACUGGGACACGGUCCAAACGCCUGCGGGAGGCAGCAGUGAGGAGUAUUGUUCAAUGAGCGGUAGCCUGAACCAGCCAAGUAGCGUGAAGGAUGAAGGCUUAUGGGUCGUAAACUACUUUUAUAUAAGAAUAUGUAUUAUAUGAAUAAGGAUCGGCUAACUCCGUGCCAGCAGCCGCGGUAAUAC